UUUAUGGGUAGCAGGCAGAGAAUUAACCUUUGCGUGCACAUAUUUGGCCCAGAUGAGAACCGGGCCCGAUGGCAGCCCCCGGGGACCGGGAUGCGGGGUCCGCCGGGGCACACCGGGGCUCGCGACUCAGGGACUCGCAUCCUCCCCUGGCGAAGGUCAUUAAGUUAGGCAGCCCGACCGCCGAGCGGGUGCCCAAGGCAUUGUGGGAGUCCUGAUUCCGAGAGGCCCGCGGCUUAAAAUUGAACUUGGCAGCCCCCAGGUCACGGGAGCAUGGUGAGCGCCCCGACUCAUUCAGCUGCAGUGGAAAGACUGUUGCAUGUCGCCGAGCAGCCUCUUAUCGCCGGGCCCGGCUUCCGCCGCCGCUGCUGCGCGGCCCCUCCCCCGCCCGCCGGCCCAGCCCCACCAGGAAGCCCGGGGCGGACCGCCGGCUCCCGGACGCACGCGGCGGCGGCGGCGGCGGCGGCGGCGGCGG